UCCCCCUGACUCAGGCUGGGACAUACCUGCGGAAGGAUGGUGAUGCGGAAGGACUGUCCACUCACGGAGGAGGCUGCCUUGAUGGAUUUGACUGCAGCUUCAAACACUUUCUUGGGCAAACGAAGAUGGAGUAUUAGCUCUGUCACCCAGGCUGGAGUACAGUGGCGUGAUCUCGGCUCACUCUAACCUCUGCCUCCUGGAUUCAAACCAUUCUUUUGCCUCAGCCUCCCAAGUAGCUGGGACUACAGAUCCUGUCCAUUGAUCUCCACCCGCACAAUGAUCACCUCAUAAUACCACUCCCGCCGGAUGGGUGUAUACCAGAGACUGCCUGUGUACAGCGAGUGGUCGAUACCUCCAAUGAUCUAGGGAAAAAAAGAGGCAGGUACCCGUGUCCUGGCACAGAAGGAGAGUGAGUCCCCCAAGGACCAAGCAAUAAGAUCAGUGAUUUCUUGGGGUGGCAAGGUCUUCUACAGGCUACCCUUUUCAUCUUCCUGCUUCUAAACAAAUCAUACCCAAAGUG
ensembl:lncRNA BACE1-AS BACE1 antisense RNA